rnacentral:lncRNA from 1 species
AAUAUCCACAAGGAGAAACAAAAGGAGAUCAUUUGCACAAAUAUUAGACCCUCGCGCGCCUUGCGCAGGUGUUCAAAAGUUAGAACGAGCUAGUUUACAACGAAUGAGUUUAUCAGGCAACUGCACAGAAGCAAAAGAACAGGAAAACAUGAUAAAAUCCAGACCAGCUACUUCACAGUCUCUUCUGCGCGGAUACUUUGGAUGUAUUAACAUACUGUCUAAUUGGGUUAGGACAAACUAGUCUUUUUACAUCAUGUAUCACCCCCACUGGGAUUACAAAUUCAGAUCAGAGCGCUAACAAGUGUA